CUCAGAUGAAACGCGGCGGGCGUGCCUAACACAUGCAAGUCGAGCGGCAGCGGGCCCGCAAGGGUGCCGGCGAGCGGCGGACGGGUGAGCAAUACAUAGGAAUCUGCCUCAGAGCGGGGGAUAGCCAGGGGAAACCCUGAUUAAUACCGCAUGAUGUCGAGAGACCAAAGUGGGGGACCGUAAGGCCUCACACUCUGAGAUGAGCCUAUGUCGGAUUAGCUAGUUGGCGGGGUAACGGCCCACCAAGGCGACGAUCCGUAGCUGGUCUGAGAGGACGAUCAGCCACACCGGAACUGAGACACGGUCCGGACUCCUACGGGAGGCAGCAGUGGGGAAUAUUGGACAAUGGGCGAAAGCCUGAUCCAGCGACGCCGCGUGGGUGAAGAAGGCCUUCGGGUUGUAAAGCCCUUUAAGCCGGGACGAAAAAAUCGGCGAUAACAUCGCCGGUCUUGACGGUACCGGAAGAAUAAGCACCGGCUAACUCUGUGCCAGCAGCCGCGGUAAUACAGAGGGUGCAAGCGUUAAUCGGAUUUACUGGGCGUAAAGCGUGAGUAGGUGGCUCGCUAAGUCGAUUGUGAAAGCCCUGGGCUCAACCUGGGAAUUGCAGUCGAUACUGGUGAGCUAGAGUUCGGUAGAGGGUGACGGAAUUCCCGGUGUAGCGGUGAAAUGCGUAGAUAUCGGGAGGAACAUCGAUGGCGAAGGCAAUCACCUGGGCCUGAACUGACACUGAGACACGAAAGCGUGGGUAGCAAACAGGAUUAGAUACCCUGGUAGUCCACGCCGUAAACGAUGGGAACCUGACGUCGGUUUGCUCUGCGAAUCGGUGUCGUAGCUAGCGCGUUAAGUUCCCCGCCUGGGGAGUA
rnacentral:rRNA from 1 species